CAGUGCUUGGCUUCUAGGACUUCACCCCAAAAUGAAGGGAUCCGGCUAAAAUUGCACAAGGCUUUUCAGAAGAGGUUGAGCAACCACAGCUGCCAAACAAUGACAUUAAGUCAGCUGGAAUUGCUGCUCAAGGAGAAAAGUAUGCUGACCAGGGUAAUAACAGAUACCACAUGCAGGGGUAGUAAUUAAUUUCAGAAUUUUCAAGGGUUUGGCAGUGAAGGAAAUGGCAUUAUACAGCCAAGGGACGUGAGGAAGUUCUUGUUCCCAUUUGGCAUUCCAAUCGCCCUGGAAGGAUUGAAGCAGCUUUGGGCAAGCUUAGGAAUCAGCAUUCAUGACAGCAAGCUCUCUUAUUUUGAUUUCCUGAGAGCAAUUGAGGAUGGCAGAGCAUCUGAAUACCAGCAGAAACAAAAGCAGGCUGCACCACCUGCAAGCUUUGCAGAGCUCAGCUUAGAACAAACCCUAAUAAAGAUAAAGGAAACAGUUACGUCAUCUUAGGAUUUGUUGUAUAAGGUAAGUUUCAUCUUAUUUAAUGUCUAUUUUUUUUCUGCCUGGCUGGGUACUAUGCCAAAGGCUUCAAAACUUUACUGCUAUUGGGUGCUACCAGCAACCUUGGCCUGUGUAGAAAUACCAUCUUCUGGCAACUGUAGGCUUCUUAAUUGAUUGUAUUCUGGAAAUUCCA
rnacentral:lncRNA from 1 species